CUACAUGACAAAUUAAUUGCCCACUCCCGUUAAAUCAUGAAAGAACUAUGAUUAACCACAUUAUUUUAGAAAGCUGAGUUUAUUUUACUAGCCACUCCCAGACCUGAUUACUGCCAGACCUGCUGAAUCAAGAAAUCACUUAAACAGAACCUGUCUGACAAAGUAAAGCAUGUUUAAAGAGCAGCACAUCAUGCCACGAUCUAAAGAGAUUCAAGAACAGAUGAGAAACAAAAUAGUGGACAUGUAUCAGUCUGGAAAGGGUUAUCAAGUCAUUCCUAAGGCUUUGGGACUCCAGCGAACCACGGUCAGAGCCAUUAUCCACAAAUGGAGAAAACUUGGAACAGUGGUGAACCUUCAAGGAGUGGCCCGCCUACCAAAAUUACUCCAAGAGUGCAACGACGACUCAUCCAGGAGGUCAUAAAAGAAGCCAGAACAACAUCUAAAGAACUGCAGCCUCACUCGCCUCAGUUAAGGUCAGUGUUCAUGAUUCAACACGAAAGAGACUGGGCAGAAACGGCAUCCAUGGGAGAGUUCCAAGAAAAAAUCCACUGCUGACCAAAAAGAACACAAAGACUCGUCUCACAUUUGCCAAAAAAUAUCUUGAUUAUCCCCAAGACUUUUGGGCAAAUAUUCUGUGGACUGAUGGGACAAAAGUCGAACUUUUUGGAAGGUGUGUCCCGUUACAUCUGGCAUAAAAGCAACACAGCAUUUCAUAAAAAGAACAUCAUACCAGCAGUCAAACAUGGUGAUGGUAGUGUGAAUGUCUGGGGCUGCUUUGCACCUUCAGGACCUGGACGACUUGCCAUAAUUGAUGGAAGCAUGAAUUCUGCACUCUUAUCAGAAGACCCUGAAGGAGAAUGUCCAGCCAUCAGUUUGUGACCUUAAGCUCAAGCACACUUGGGUUCUGCAGCAGGACAAUGAUCCCAAACACACCAGCAAGCCCACCUCUGAAUGGCUCAAGAAAAACAAAAUUAAGGUUUUGGAGUGGAUAAGUCAAAGUCCAGACUUAAAUCCAAUUGAGAUGCUGUGGCAUGACCUUAAACGGUCCAUUCAUGCUCCAAUGUGGCUGAAUCAAAACAAUUCUGCAAAGAAGAGUGGGCCAAAAUUCCUCCACAGUGAUAUGAAAGACUCAUUGCCAGUUAUUGCAAAUGCUUGAUUGCAGUUGUUGCUUCAAAGGUUGGCACAAACAGUUAUUAGAAUUUGGGGUCAAUUACUUUUUCACAUAGUGCCAGGCAGGUUUGGACAGCUUUUUUCCCCUUAAUAAAUUAAAUAAUUAUUUCAAAACUGCAUUUUG
ensembl:lncRNA